GGUAGACGCUACGGACUUAAAAUCCGUCGACUUUAGAAAUCGUGAGGGUUCAAGUCCCUCUAUCCCCA
rnacentral:tRNA from 3 species